rnacentral:rRNA from 1 species
GAUGAACGCUGGCGGCGUGCCUAAUACAUGCAAGUCGAGCGAACGGACGAGAAGCUUGCUUCUCUGAUGUUAGCGGCGGACGGGUGAGUAACACGUGGAUAACCUACCUAUAAGACUGGGAUAACUUCGGGAAACCGGAGCUAAUACCGGAUGAUAUUUUGAACCGCAUGGUUCAAAAGUGAAAGACGGUCUUGCUGUCACUUAUAGAUGGAUCAGCGCUGCAUUAGCUAGUUGGUAAGGUAACGGCUUACCAAGGCAACGAUGCAUAGCCGACCUGAGAGGGUGAUCGGCCACACUGGAACUGAGACACGGUCCAGACUCCUACGGGAGGCAGCAGUAGGGAAUCUUCCGCAAUGGGCGAAAGCCUGACGGAGCAACGCCGCGUGAGUGAUGAAGGUCUUCGGAUCGUAAAACUCUGUUAUUAGGGAAGAACAUAUGUGUAAGUAACUGUGCACAUCUUGACGGUACCUAAUCAGAAAGACACGGCUAACUACGUG